AGCGAACGCUGGCGGCAGGCCUAACACAUGCAAGUCGAGCGCUCGUAGCAAUACGAGAGCGGCAGACGGGAGAGUAACACGUGGGAACGUACCCUUCAGUUCGGAACAACCCAGGGAAACUUGGGCUAAUACCGAAUACGUCCGUAAGGAGAAAGAUUUAUCGCUGAAGGAUCGGCCCGCGUCUGAUUAGCUAGUUGGUGAGGUAACGGCUCACCAAGGCGACGAUCAGUAGCUGGUCUGAGAGGAUGAUCAGCCUCACUGGGACUGAGACACGGCCCAGACUCCUACGGGAGGCAGCAGUGGGGAAUAUUGGACAAUGGGCGCAAGCCUGAUCCAGCCAUGCCGCGUGGGUGAUGAAGGCCCUAGGGUUGUAAAGCCCUUUCGGCGGGGGAAGAUAAUGACGGUACCCGCAGAAGAAG
rnacentral:rRNA from 1 species